AUGGGCAGACUACGGAAAGUCUCGGCCAAGGAUGUUCCGCAAGUUUCUUCAGUUGAGAGUCAGGAUUCUUCAAAAGAUCCUUCUGUGCCUAAUGAUUUCGCUGAUGAGAAUGUUAUGUCUUUGGUAGUUAUCUUUGUCUUCUUUUCAUUUUCAUUGUGUUUUUUCUGUUUCUCAUUUUCUGUGUUGUGCUUAUUGUCUGAAUUUUUCCUUUUUCAGGAUUUCUCUGCUGAUGAUGAAGAGUUUGAUAAAGCACUUUACAAUUUCUAUGUGACUAAUAAAGUCAAGCAGCUCAAGAGGAAAUUAUCAUCUGUUGGUAGAAGGAAUGUUGUAAGUCUCUUUUCUCUUCUUGUGUUUCUUUUUUCCUUCUCUUCUUAUCAUUUUGAUUGCUUGUCUGAUGUUUGUUUUGCUAGGGUUUCCCCUUUGUGUAUUUAG
rnacentral:rRNA from 1 species